UACGGAGGGAGCUAGCGUUGUUCGGAAUUACUGGGCGUAAAGCGCACGUAGGCGGCUUUUUAAGUCAGAGGUGAAAUCCCGGGGCUCAACCCCGGAACUGCCUUUGAAACUGGAGAGCUAGAAUCUUGGAGAGGCGAGUGGAAUUCCGAGUGUAGAGGUGAAAUUCGUAGAUAUUCGGAAGAACACCGGUGGCGAAGGCGACUCGCUGGACAAGUAUUGACCCUUAGGUGCGAAAGCUUGGGGAGCAAACAGG
rnacentral:rRNA from 1 species